rnacentral:rRNA from 1 species
UGGGGAAUUUUGGACAAUUGGGCGAAAGCCUGAUCCAGCAAUGCCGCGUGUGUGAAGAAGGCCUUCGGGUUGUAAAGCACUUUUGUCCGGAAAGAAAUCCUUGGCUCUAAUACAGUCGGGGGAUGACGGUACCGGAAGAAUAAGCACCGGCUAACUACGUGCCAGCAGCCGCGGUAAUACGUAGGGUGCAAGCGUUAAUCGGAAUUACUGGGCGUAAAGCGUGCGCAGGCGGUUUGCUAAGACCGAUGUGAAAUCCCCGGGCUCAACCUGGGAACUGCAUUGGUGACUGGCAGGCUAGAGUAUGGCAGAGGGGGGUAGAAUUCCACGUGUAGCAGUGAAAUGCGUAGAGAUGUGGAGGAAUACCGAUGGCGAAGGCAGCCCCCUGGCAAGUCACUGACGCUCAUGCACGAAAGCGUGGGGAGCAAAC